UGCGCUUGCGCCCUCUGCGCUUAGCUGCGGUCCUCGCUGAGACCUCCUUUCAGGGACGGGAGGGUGGUUAUUCUGGUCUUCCCUGGGUUUGUGUGCUUCAGCCUCCGUGUUGGACUUAGGUAGGGUGUUUGCGAGAAGGUGUGCGUAAAAGCCUUUUACUAAACCAGUGCUGCUCAGGUGAGCGCCGUUUACGAAGCUCUGGGACGGGACCUGGGAGCUGAAAUUUCCCCAGGCUGCGGGGAGAGACCUCCUGAAGGAAGUUGGGGUCCUAAGCCUUCCCAAAAGAAGGAGGAUUUGCUACCGAUUGGAACUACUUCCCCAGUGUUGUCAGCCACCGCUGCAGUGUGGUACUAGAUGGUUAAAAGUGUUCAUGCGUGGGCUCCAACUCCCGAGAUUCGGAGUGAUUGAUCUUGGGCGAGCCCUGAGCAUCUGGGCCUUCUUGAUAUUGUUGAAACUCCCCGGCAGUUUCAACUAUAGUCCCGUCUUCACCCGUGCACACAAAGACCAAUUUCCCCUUCUUGCCACCGUCUCAGAAAUAUAAACCAACGCAAGACCCAGCCGGAGGAUCUUCCAGUGCCAAGCAUUAAGUGGUUUUCCUCCUCAAUUAACCAUUUGAGGUGUUUGAUCCUGCGAAAUGAAGUGGCGGUGGCCUUGGGCCAGAGUUACCUGUCAUGGGCAACAUCACAAAGUGAAAAGUUCAUGUGAGGACUACAAACCUGCUCCAUUUGUUACUCUUCCUUCUUCUAG